AAGAUACCCGGCCAACUUGGACGUGGCGAUAUAUGUAUCAUUUGUAUCAUGAGUAUGGUUGGGGGUUGGCAUAUACGUGAUUCAAUUUAUAAAGUCUGAUCAUUAAGAUUAGGGAGGAUAUUUUUUCUUAGGUGAUUUAGAUUGACAUAACAACUUUAGUACUAUGGCAGACUUCGAGAAUUCAGCCCCAUCCCAGCCAUCAGCUGUGCAUAGUUUUUUCAAAAGAAUAGGCGACACAAAACAAAAUCUUCUAGACAAGUCCACACCAUACAUGUAUUUUCGAUGGAUCUUUACUUGCGUCUUGUUUUUACUCUAUGGACUAAGAGUUUAUUUUCUACAGGGCUGGUAUAUAGUCACAUAUGCCUUGGGAAUUUAUCUGCUUAAUCAGUUUAUAGCCUUUUUAACACCUAAAGUGGAUCCAGCUUUUCAAGAUCCGGAUGAUGAUGAGGAUGGACCAUCUCUUCCUACAAAAUCCAAUGAAGAAUUCAGACCAUUUAUGAGAAGAUUACCCGAGUUCAAAUUUUGGUAUAGUUCAACAAAGGCCAUUGUCUUUGGUACGAUUUGUACAUUUUUUGAAGCCCUGAAUAUUCCAGUGUUUUGGCCUAUCCUAGUAAUGUACUUCAUCAUCCUGUUUGUAAUAACCAUGAAAAGACAAAUUAAGCAUAUGAUAAAAUACCGUUACCUUCCGUUUUCCCACGGGAAGCGCACAUACAAAGGAAAAGAAGACACUGGAAAGGUGGUUUCAUAGUGACAUUGGUUUUGUUGUUUUUGUUCAUGUACAUACAUGUAUGUGUAAAAUAUGAACAUUCAUUCUCUUAUGAUUGUUUAAAAACAUUUUUUUUAGUAUUGUCCAUUUACUUAGUAUGCUAUUGAAUGAAUGCAUGAUUGUGUGAAGGAAAAAAAAUAAAGCUAUUUAUAUUGG
rnacentral:misc_RNA from 1 species